AUAAAUAUGACAGAAUAUUAGGUCGUGAUGAUGAAGCAAGGUGAAGGAUGAAUGGGUACUCUUUGUGUGUUCUUUCAGAUUUUCUACAGGUUUGAACAUUUUUGAAACAAACUUGGCAGUGACUCUCGCCUCUCUAAAUGCAGGUGACGUGUUUCAUGGCAUCAGCAAGGAGGACCACAGACACUCGGCCCCAGCCGCCCCGAGGAACAGCCCCACGGGCUUGGCCCCACUCCCAGCGCUCUCGCCUGCUGCGCUGUCACCUGCUGCGCUCUCACCUGCCUCCACACCUCACCUUGCAAAUCUUGCAGCCCCAUCAUUCCCCAAAACAGCAACCACAACUCCUGGGUUUGUGGACACACGCAAGAGUUUCUGUCCUGCACCCCUGCCCCCGGCCACAGAUGGCUCCAUUAGCGCCCCUCCAAGUGUCUGCAGUGACCCUGACUGCGAAGGGCACCGCUGCGAGAAUGGUG
rnacentral:lncRNA from 1 species